CACUCCUGCGGGAGGCAGCAGUGGGGAAUAUUGGACAAUGGGCGCAAGCCUGAUCCAGCCAUGCCGCGUGAGUGAUGAAGGCCCUAGGGUUGUAAAGCUCUUUCACCGGUGAAGAUAAUGACGGUAAUCGGAGAAGAAGCCCCGGCUAACUUCGUGCCAGCAGCCGCGGUAAUACGAAGGGGGCUCGCGUUGUUCGGAUUUACUGGGCGUAAAGCGCACGUAGGCGGACUAUUAAGUCAGGGGUGAAAUCCCGGGGCUCAACCCCGGAACUGCCUUUGAUACUGGUAGUCUUGAGUUCGAGAGAGGUGAGUGGAAUUCCGAGUGUAGAGGUGAAAUUCGUAGAUAUUCGGAGGAACACCAGUGGCGAAGGCGGCUCACUGGCUCGAUACUGACGCUGAGGUGCGAAAGCGUGGGGAGCAAACAGGAUUAGAAACCCUUGUAGUCCCAUG
rnacentral:rRNA from 1 species